UAGGGAAUCUUCCACAAUGGGCGAAAGCCUGAUGGAGCAACGCCGCGUGUGUGAUGAAGGGUUUCGGCUCGUAAAACACUGUUGUAAGAGAAGAAUGACAUUGAGAGUAACUGUUCAAUGUGUGACGGUAUCUUACCAGAAAGGAACGGCUGAAUACGUGCCAC
rnacentral:rRNA from 1 species